rnacentral:pre_miRNA from 1 species
UUAGAAGUGAAUUGAUUUAUGUUUGGAUACUCUCACUUAGAAGUGAUUCUUAUGAGUUGAUGUUGUUUGGAUAG